rnacentral:tRNA from 1 species
ACUUAAAUAGCUUAUAAUAGAGCAUAAUAUUGAAGAUAUUAUUGAAGUUUUUAACUUUUAAGUA